UACGGGGGGAGCAAGCGUUGUUCGGAUUUACUGGGCGUAAAGGGCGCGUAGGCGGUCAGCACAAGUCAGUUGUGAAAUCUCCGGGCUUAACUCGGAAAGGUCAACUGAUACUGUGCGACUAGAGUGCAGAAGGGGCAACUGGAAUUCUCGGUGUAGCGGUGAAAUGCGUAGAUAGUCGAGAGGAACACCUGCGGCGAAGGCGGGUUGCUGGGCUGACACUGACGCUGAUGACGCGAAAGCCAGGGGAGCGAACGGG
rnacentral:rRNA from 1 species